rnacentral:ncRNA from 1 species
AACAACGAAUUGUGAGAAGUCAGCAGAGGUCAUAGUACCGAGAAAUCGGGAAGGAC